ensembl:lncRNA
GUGAGUUAGUGUUUGCUUAGCUUGCUAGCUGAUCUUUACUAAUCGAGAUUUUCUUUGUCUGUUAAAGUCUGGUAUUUAUUAGUUUAAGUUUAUCUGGUCACGGUUUAGUCCAGUUUCAGUUUUUCUUUUUGUUUGGAUCUCUAUUUUAGUUUCUCAUGAGUUUGAUUUGUUUUUGAGUUUGACUUGUUUUUGUUGUUGAGUUUGAGUUUCUUGAUUUAGUCUUUCCAGUUAUUUCUAGAACUAUUUUGUAUUUGUUUCUUUACCUUUUAAUUUACUUUUGUCUUGUCUAGUGUUUUGUGAGUUCUGUCUGUUCCUGUCUUGCCUCCUGCUUUCUCCCUGGCCACUGGGUCUCCCUGCCUGGAGGUCUGACGUGUGUGGCUUCACCUCCAUAGCCAAGUGCCCUUGGUUCCUGGUGCUGUGGUCUGGUCUCUAGCACAGCCUCCUCUACAGUCCUGCGCUCGGUUGGCACCCAGGGCCCUCCUCGGCGGUCAUCCCCCCCCAUCUGCCUGCUUCACUGUUGUACGCCCUUUCCUACUGUCUGGACUGUUCAAGCCACUCCCUCCUAUCGUGCUUGUCUUAUUUGUCAAUAAACGUCCCCUGUUCAAUCUGCAUUUGGGUCCUCUCCCUCAGUAACCCUGACAGAACGAACCAGCCAAG